UCCUACUUGUAAGAAAAAUAUUGCUAAUAACAUGAAUCGGUGAUGUUUUUUUUUCAGCACUUACUCUGUACCUGGUUCCUUGCCUGUUUCUGACGUCACUCCUCACAAACACAAUUCUAUGAAGGAUGAAGGACUCCAUUUUACAGAUGGAGCUUGCAAAGCUCAAGGAGUUUGAUUGACUUGCUCAAGGUCACAGAGCUAGGCAGUGACAGAGGCAAGAUUUGAAACCAAGGCCUGUUCAUCCCAGGAGUCCAUGUUCUUCAUUGGGAGUCAAUUCAACUUCUCAUCUAAUGGCGGAAGCCUCCUGUGAAUGCUCAAUGAUGUUCCUCUGGACUCCUUGUGCAAAGCUCUGUCCUAACACUUCUCUCAUCACUGGCCAAUAAACAAUUUGAAAGCAGAGACCAUGAAAUCCUGGGCUCUAUCACUUGCCAGCAGUGUGACCCCGAACAAAGCACUUCAUCUCUGAGCUUGUUUCCUCAUCAGUAAAAUGGGGAUGAUGAUGAUGAUGAUGAUGAUGAUGAUGAUGAUGAUGUGAGAGUUAGCUCAAGUACCAUAUCAUUUGCCAGGAUUGCAAUAGCAGUUGUUCAAUAGCAAUAAAUAUGUUUUUAUCUGUUC